UUUCCAUAUUUGGCGCUCUCUUGUCUUUGCCCCCACCAGCCUCACACACAGCUGCUGCGCGCACACUUCACUGCCUCUGCCGACGUCUCUGCCGCCUUGGCUGCUGCCAGUUUGAAGUGAGCAUUGAAGCGGCGCUGGCACUGGAAAAGAGCAACCACUCACUGCUCAACUGAGCGAGUCCCUUUCAGCGGCAGCAGCACACAAUCUGGCACUCAGAGUGGCUAGGCGCUGCACGACCGGCUGCUUUGACGACUCGUUGGCAGCGCUGUCCAGGAUAUGCCAGGCGUUGCGCGGCCAGCCAGCGAAGCUUCCUCGACAUUACGCCAUCCGCCGUGUACGACGAGAGGUGUGUGGCAGUGUAGGACACUCGAUUGUUUAGCCUAGUUGCCGAGCUUGUGUGAAAUUUGCUGAACCGCAGCUGUUCAGUUGCUCAUGACUAUUCGACUGAAGUGGCUGUCGCAACAGCAGCUCGGAUCGCUGUGUGGUGGUGCCUUGCAAGUUGUAGUCUAAACUCAAGCGGCGGGCGCAGCAAAACAAAAAAAUAAAAUAAAAUAUAAAAGUAAAUGUAAAAAAAGGUGCCAGAAAUGUGUCGCGUACCAUAGCAUACAUCCAGGCGUUGUGCCAUAUUUCAACUCCAUACGUCUGCGGUUCGUAGCUGUGCUUAAGUGUAGCCAGUUAUUUCGGCAUGCUAUCAUCACCGUUAUCAGCAUCAUUCGCAGCAUUAUCAGCGUCACCAUCAAACUAAUCAUUGCAUUUAACUGAGUCAUCACCUUUCUAAGCAUCAUCUGUAAUCUCUAGUCAAGGCAACCAUGAUUUUGUCAGCACUACGUCCUGGUUUCGGUUGGUGUGUGUAGGGUCUAAAGAGCUCGCACGACCACACACACAUACACGCAGGAAAAGUCGACAAGUCGCAUCAACCUCCGAUAUAUAGUUCAACCGCACUAUCACCAUUGCGCACACUGCCAUCAGCCACACGCCGCCAGCAGCAGCAUCGUCAUAACCACCAUCACCACCACCACCUCCAUCGCCACCACAUCUCAGCGCUUCCUCAUUACAUCGCACAGUGCUCGCCUCAACAUUUUUGCGGGUUUUCUUUCCGCCUUCAGCCACAUUCUCAUGCAUCGGCGAAUUCCGAAAAAACACAAUGCAAAAAUAUACUAUACCGUUGCACACACACACUCACUGGUGCUUAAGUGCGGCAUGGCAUUUAUUAGUGAUUAGCGUGUUGCGUGUUUUCUUCGUGUUCAAGUGAAAAGAGAAAAAAAUCCCUUUCGCUCCCGCCACCCGCCACCCGCCUUCCGCACAAUGGCACUUCGAGUGCUGACUCCGAACAAUCUGACAUACAAACCGUAAGUCUUGCUCCGUCGGUGUUUUGUUGGCGUUAAAUGCGCUGUCGUGUCAAGUGAAAUUAACUUUAAAUGCAAUUUAAUUGCUCCGAACUCGAAGCUCAAGUCGUGGAAGGGCAUUAGUACUUUAUUGCCAGCCGCAAAAGUGUGGCAACGUGUGUGCUUCCCAAUGGAUUUAUGUGUUUCGUGGUGACUGUGUGCAACUAACGGUACAGCCAAAUAUGUGCCUCAAGUCGCUGUGAGGCGUCAGUGAACCUACAGAUGAAUCAACCAGAUGCAAGGUCUCUACUGCUGGCACUGUCUAAAGAGCCACUCCGCCAAGAGCACGCUCCAAUUCGCUGGCCGUGGCUGUUGUUACAGCUGUGCAUCACCGCCAACAUAAUGCAGAUACCCGUUGUGGCCGUGGCAUGGCAGCGGGAAUGUUGCACGGUCGCAUAGCCGUGACGUGACGAUGCAUAUCUUGUCGACAACACUAAUUCAUUCUGAAUUAUGCGAGCAUAACUCAUUCUGUUGCCAUUGUUGUUGCGCGCCACCGCUCUUGUGUGCUGUGCUGCAACACCAUAACACCGCGCAAGUGGCCAUCAGUAUCACCUCGCCAACAGCGUCGCGCGCCCAAGUCAUUGUCGCGGUCCGCACUGUGGCGUCUCCGGCUAUGCAGGUGGUGGCAGUGGGGCUGCCGCGGCUUGUUACACUGCCAUUAGAGAAAUAUGAAGAAAUGAGGAACACAAAGCAGUGACUGUUGAAACUACAGUAAAGAUGUAAGUAUAAACCCGUUAGAUACGCAAAAAUGCUUGAAAUAUCCGAAUCUUAGAGAUGUUACAAUAUGAGAUCAAUUGUUAGUCUCGGCUCAUACGAGUACUUAGGAAGAGUUCGGGCAUAACUUUUGUGGAUUACCAUGAAGCAAAAGAUCGAAAUAAAGAGUUGAAAAUGACAAAAACUUAACCACAAUUCAAGGCAACCACAAACACGUUAUUGCCAUAAAAAUGUUGCGCACAUUAGCGCUUCACACCCACUGUGCUCAACCGAAAGCCUGGCGCCUGGCUGUUGAUCCGAGCAACCCUUUCGGUGCAUUAGCACUCUUGGAAUUUGAAUUUGAACUUUGCCAAGCCGACAGAGCACAAAUGUGUGCCCUUUGCAUCAAACGCAGACGAAAAUGUACAUUUACUUUUGGUUUCAAAAUACUCACCUCCACCUCGUCCUCGACCACCUCUCCAUGGGCACUACGGUGUCUUUCACUUCACUUGCAUUACGAAUUCCCUUUCUGUGUGCAAUUAUAUUUGAUGUUGCCUGAGUUGUUGUUGUGCGUUUGCAAGAUUUCUUGGCUGCCGCCCGGAAUUCUAACGGCAACUGCUACUGUGUGUGUGUAGGUUUGUGUGUUGCAAGUACUUGUGGCAGCAGUUUACAACUGUCUGUGCAUAUUUAUCUGGGAGGCGUGCUGUGUGGGUGUUAAGUGCCAAGCAAAGUGGUUGGAAAUGUGCGCAUUUUAUUUAAUUUUUGGCUAAUACGAAUUUAUGUACUCGUCCAUGCUUAUUUUGUACAUUCAGCUGCAACACAAAUGUUUCAUUACGGUUUUACGGUUUUAUUUAGUCUUCACUCGCUGCGCUCUGCCCUGCGCCCUCCCUUUGCGUUGCUGUUUGCCGUUUGUUUUGCCUUGAGCCACUUGCAAUUGCCUCUGCUGCUGUGUAAAAGCUGUAGAAAGUUUCGCAACAACUACAACAACAACAACGGCGAUAAAUCCUUUCAAGUUGCAUUCGUGUCGUGAUUAUUUCGGUUAGUCGUAAUUCUUUUUCUCCAUCUUUGUGUUGUUUUGUUUUCUUUUUGGUUAUUUGUUGUUGUUGCUGUUAGUUUUGUUUUGUGUUCCGUUAUCGCAACAGUUGUAGCUGUCUGACUUAAUGCAAAUUUAAAACAAUCUACUUCAGCUUGUGUUCAUUGGUGAGUAACUUUAGUCUCAACGUCGGGGGCAAUGGAGUGGCCGGGAAUAACUGCAGACGAAACGGACUGUGAGAAAAAUAUGCGGGAACGCUUUAUGUAACCUAAAGGAAAAUAAAAAGACGCUUUAGAGACACCGAAAUGUCUUGUACUUACAUAUUUAUGCUUUGCACUUUACGGUUGCCAAAAUUACAGUAAAAAAGUGGCGUCAGUGGGGGUGUAUGAGUCUAUUACCGAGUUCAGUUAAAGUCAGACUUGCAUUUUUCUAAUAAUUUCCGCAGUUAACACGAAUUUCGAUCAGGACUUUUUAAACUUCUUACUAUUAGGUCGUUCACUAAGUAACUUCCCUUGAUGACAACAGCUGAUCUUAUUCAGUUUUUCGCAUCCAAAAAAUGCUUGAAGCAAAGCGAAGAUCUUAACCGAACGCCAAUACCAAAUUGGUUUGCAAAAUUGCGUUCCGACAGUUUCGAUCUUGCGGAUGCACCACAUUCUGGAAGAACUCCUAUAGCCGAUGUGGAUAAAAUAUGGUUAUUGAUCGAUGCAAAUCAUCGAAUAACAAUUCGAGAGAUAUCCGAAGGAUUAAAUAUAUCUAACGCGACCAUUCACAUGCACAUAUAACGUGUAGGAUUAAUUUCGAAUCUAUACUUGAAAUAUGGGUUUUUUAUGUUCUUACGGAGCGAAAGUUGCUUCGUCGC